AGGAAAUCUUGGAUGCGUGAGGACCGUGGUUACCUCUUUGGGUCAUGGAAAGCUGCUGAGAGUGAGGGCGGAGGAGUGACAGCUCUUUCUCCCCUCCCCCAGCCUGAAACCUGCUUGCUCAGGGGUGGAGCUUCCUGGUCAUUUGUUCUGCCACGCCCACUGCUGGAACCUGCCGCUUUGCUGUUUGGAGCCACACACGUGCUCACCUUUCUACUGGACCUGAGAUUAUUCAGCGGGAAUUGGGUCCCCUCCCCCUUCCUUCAUAACCGAGUGUCGCAACAGUAAAAUUUGAGCUUUGAUCAAAA
rnacentral:lncRNA from 1 species